AUCCUGGUGGCACAUAUUGACUUCCGUCCCACCGCUUCAAGUGACUGACUGGGUGCAAAUAAAGGCACAAAGUUCUGGUAGGCUUUCCCUGACGUAUUUGUGGACACGUCUUUGUGCUCAAAAGUGUCAGUCGCGAGAAAGGCCCAAAAGAAUUUCCAAAGUGAAGACAGUCAUCGUCGACUGGAGGAUUUACGGCACCACGGUGACGUAACCGAGGACUGUACAAAGUCCAUCCUUUCAAAAUGGACGAAAAGACUCAAAGAAGGACCCGUUCGGGAGACUGCCGAGCGGCCGCCGGCCGUUUUUGAAGCCGCUACGGGAAUUACAGCCCGGGGCGAGGGCCUAACGCGCCACGUGAGGAGCUUUACGAGCCGUCAGCUGCGAUCGGAUGGCGGGCGACGUCUAGAUGAGCGACGCCGCCGCCCUGCUGACGGAGAUGAAAGGCAAACAGAAGGUUUUUACAUUUCUACACAGCGUUUGAC